GACGAACGCUGGCGGCGUGCUUAACACAUGCAAGUCGAACGGAAAGGCCCUGCUUUUGUGGGGUGCUCGAGUGGCGAACGGGUGAGUAACACGUGAGUAACCUGCCCUUGACUUUGGGAUAACUUCAGGAAACUGGGGCUAAUACCGGAUAGGAGCUCCUGCUGCAUGGUGGGGGUUGGAAAGUUUCGGCGGAUGGGGAUGGACUCGCGGCUUAUCAGCUUGUUGGUGGGGUAGUGGCUUACCAAGGCUUUGACGGGUAGCCGGCCUGAGAGGGUGACCGGCCACAUUGGGACUGAGAUACGGGCCAGACUCCUACGGGAGGCAGCAGUGGGGAAUAUUGCACAAUGGGCGGAAGCCUGAUGCAGCAACGCCGCGUGCGGGAUGACGGCCUUCGGGUUGUAAACCGCUUUCGCCUGUGACGAAGCGUGAGUGACGGUAAUGGGUAAAGAAGCACCGGCUAACUACGUG
rnacentral:rRNA from 1 species